rnacentral:rRNA from 1 species
AAGCCCCAGUAAACGGCGGCCGUAACUAUAACGGUCCUAAGGUAGCGAAAUUCCUUGUCGGGUAAGUUCCGACCCGCACGAAAGGUGUAACGAUUUGGGCACUGUCUCAACAAAGGAUCCGGUGAAAUUGUAGUAGUCGUGAAGAUGCGACUUACCCACGCUAGGACGGAAAGACCCCGUGGAGCUUUACUGUAGGCUGAUAUUGGAUUUUGAGAUUAGACGUACAGGAUAGUUGGGAGACAAAGAAACUUGCACGCCAGUGUAGGUUAAGUCACCCUUGGGAUACCAACCCUCUAAUAUCAAAAUUCUAACAUUGACCCUUAAUCAGGGCAAAGGACAUUGUCAGUUGGGCAGUUUGACUGGGGCGGUCGCCUCCCAAAAAGUAACGGAGGCGUUCAAAGGUUCGCUCAGAAUGGACGGAAACCAUUCGAAGAGUACAAAGGCAAAAGCGAGCUUAACUGCGAGAUAUACAGAUCAAGCAGAGUAGAAAUACGGACUUAGUGAUCCGGUGGCACCGCAUGGAAGGGCCAUCGCUCAACGGAUAAAAGCUACCCCGGGGAUAACAGGCUUAUCUCCCCCAAGAGUCCACAUCGACGGGGAGGUUUGGCACCUCGAUGUCGGCUCGUCUCAUCCUGGGGCUGAAGUAGGUCCCAAGGGUUGGGCUGUUCGCCCAUUAAAGAGGCACGCGAGCUGGGUUCAGAACGUCGCGAGACAGUUCGGUCCCUAUCCGUCGUGGGCGUAGGAAAUUUGAGAGGAGCUGUCCUUAGUACGAGAGGACCGGGAUGGACAUACCUCUGGUGUACCAGUUGUCGUGCCAACGGCAUAGCUGGGUAGCUAUGUAUGGACGGGAUAAGUGCUGAAAGCAUCUAAGCAUGAAGCCCCCCUCAAGAUGAGAUUUCCCAACUUCGGUUAUAAGAUCCCUCGAAGAUGACGAGGUUAAUAGGUUCGAGGUGGAAGCGUGGUGACACGUGGAGCUGACGAAUACUAAUCGAUCGAAGACUUAAUCAA